rnacentral:rRNA from 1 species
AGAGUUUGAUCAUGGCUCAGAGUGAACGCUGGCGGCGUGCCUAACACAUGCAAGUCGAACGAGAACGGAUUACAGCUUGCUGUAAUUGUCAGCUAAGUGGCGCACGGGUGAGUAAUAUAUAGUUAAUCUGCCCCAAAGAAGAGAAUAAUUGUUGGAAACGACUUGUAAUGCUCUAUAUGCCUUUAUCACAUAAGUGAGCAAGGGAAAUAUUUAUAGCUUUGGGAUGAGACUGUACGGUAUCAGCUAGUUGGUGAGGUAAUGGCUCACCAAGGCUAUGACAUCUAACUGGUUUGAGAGGAGGAUCAGUCACACUGGAACUGAGACACGGUCCAGACUCCUACGGGAGGCAGCAGUGGGGAAUAUUGCACAAUGGAGGGAACUCUGAUGCAGCAACGCCGCGUGGAGGAUGACACAUUUCGGUGCGUAAACUCCUUUUAUAUGAGAAGAUAAUGACGGUAUCAUAUGAAUAAGCACCGGCUAACUCCGUGCCAGCAGCCGCGGUAAUACGGGGGGUGCAAGCGUUACUCGGAAUCACUGGGCGUAAAGAGCAUGUAGGCUGUAGAUUAAGUUGGGAGUGAAAUCCUAUGGCUCAACCAUAGAACUGCUUCCAAAACUGAUUUGCUAGAGUAUGGGAGAGGUAGAUGGAAUUUCUGGUGUAGGGGUAAAAUCCGUAGAGAUC